CACUUUAGCCAAAACCACACCACCUCGCAAGGCGCCAAUCCUCUUUCUAUGCUUUCCUGUCCUAUACUCGUACAUACAUUUUUUAUUUUUGUCCGCAGCUAAAAAUUCCAUUACUUUUGAUUGUAUUAAAAUGGGUGUGGAAUAACCAAGAAUAUGAAAGAAGAGAGAGGAGAUGAGCGCACCCUCUGUUUUCUUCAUUCUUUGGAUUGGGUUUUGAUUGAUGCAACGAGGACUCGAUGUUCCUCUGUAUCUGAACUGAGGUCUGCAUGAUUUUCUAGAUAAGAAAUGACGGAAUCGGAUCUUGGUAAGCUCUUUAUCGGUGGGAUAUCUUGGGACACGGAUGAGAAGAGCCUUAAAGAUUAUUUUAGCUCCUAUGGAGACGUGGUGGAGGCUGUGAUCAUGAGAGAUCGCAACACCGGCCGGGCUCGCGGUUUCGGUUUUGUAGUCUUUGCUGAUCUUGCGGUUGCUGAGAGAGUAGUCAAGGAGAAACACAUGAUAGAUGGCCGAACUGUUGAAGCAAAGAAGGCUGUGCCCAAGGAUGACUAUAAUAUAAUGAAUAGGAACAAUAUCAACAUUCAAGGAUCUCCGGGCCCUGGGCGCACAAAAAAGAUUUUUGUAGGAGGAUUAGCAUCUACCAUCACAGAGAGUGAGUUCAAGAAAUACUUUGAUCAGUUUGGUACAAUUACGGAUGUUGUGGUAAUGUAUGACCACAAUACACAGCGGCCGAGAGGUUUUGGAUUUAUAACUUAUGAUUCGGAGGAUGCAGUGGAUAGGUCGUUGUAUAAAACCUUUCAUGAACUGAGUGGUAAGAUGGUUGAAGUGAAACGGGCAGUUCCAAAAGAGCGUUCUCCGGGGCCUAGACAGAGCCCUAUGAUGGGAUAUAACUAUGGUCUUAAUAGAUCCCCCGAGAACUUCCUUAACAGCUAUGCACAGGGGUAUAAUCUGAGUUCGGUUGGAGGCUAUGGGUUUAGGAUGGAUAGGUUUAAUCCUGUUCCCAGUGGUCGAACAGGAUAUUCUCAAUUCGUUAAUCCUGCAGCUUAUGGAGUGAGUAUGAAUUUGGAUUCAGUAUUGACCCCGAGUUUUGCAGGUGGGUCCAAUUUUAGUAAUACCCUCGGUUAUGGGCGGGUUCUGAGCCCGUACUUUGGUAGCAACUCAAGCAGAUACACUACUCCCAUUGGAUAUGGCACGAGCAGCAACCGUGGGGACUCGUUUUUAGCCUCUCCAACAAGGAAUGUCUGGGGAAAUGGCGGUCUUACUCUUAAUACUUCUCCAAAUGGUGUUAGCUCGAGUUCGUUUUUGGCCUCUGGUAGUGGUUUUGGAGUUUUUGGAAAUAACGGUGCAAAUUGGAGCUCUUCGGUUCCUGCUCCAGUUGGUAGGAACUCUUCCAAUUAUGCCGGUGGGAAUGUUGGGUUCAGAGUUGGAGAAGCCAGUUACGUAUUGGGAUCUGAAGAUUUCGGGAGAAAUAAUUCAGCAGGUAUAGCCACAUCAUUCACCGUGCCCAACGGUCCUUAUGAGGGGCCUUAUGGGGAUUUCUAUAGCAGCGCUUCAAUGUCGGGUGACCCCACUAGACACGCUGCAUCUCCUGACAUAGAUGGCUCGGUUUCUUUUGGGUAUGGGCUAGGAAAUUCGGGAGAUAUCAGAGGUUAUAAUGUUGCAAAUAGACAAGCAAAUAGAGAAGUUACCCUCUUUCUCAUUUGAAUGAAUUGCAGCUUAGGCGAGCUCGUUAAUUGGGUAUAUGGAGAAUUUAGGCGAGGAGACUUCAGAAAAGCGGUAGGUGCUCAGAGAAAGCGAUUUUCAGAGGAUUUCGACUCUUUUAGAUCUUAGUUAGGCUCCAUUCUCGGCAUCUGAUUGAAAUUGAACUGUAAAGUCGAUUGCAAGAUAGAUUGAUUGAUGAAUUUCCUGUUUUAGUUUAUUUGUUGCCUAUGUUUUAAGCAGCCAGUCAAGUAGAACUGGUACAAGACAUUUAGUUUCAUUCUUGUCCUUUUUUAUGGCACUUUUGUUAUUUUUCCUUUAUAAAAUCAGAACCUUAUCCUGUUUGGUCUG